UCAGGCCUAACACAUGCAAGUCGAACGGCAGCACGGACUUCGGUCUGGUGGCGAGUGGCGAACGGGUGAGUAAUAUAUCGGAACGUGCCCAGUCGUGGGGGAUAACGUAGCGAAAGCUACGCUAAUACCGCAUACGAUCUACGGAUGAAAGCGGGGGAUCGCAAGACCUCGCGCGAUUGGAGCGGCCGAUAUCAGAUUAGGUAGUUGGUGAGGUAAAGGCUCACCAAGCCGACGAUCUGUAGCUGGUCUGAGAGGACGACCAGCCACACUGGGACUGAGACACGGCCCAGACUCCUACGGGAGGCAGCAGUGGGGAAUUUUGGACAAUGGACGCAAGUCUGAUCCAUCAAGGCCGCGUGCAGGACGAAGGCCUUCGGGU
rnacentral:rRNA from 1 species